rnacentral:rRNA from 1 species
UACGGGGGGUGCGAGCGUUGUCCGGAAUCACUGGGCGUAAAGGGCGCGUAGGUGGUUUGAUAAGGGUGUGGUGAAAGUCCGGGGCUCAACCCCGGAUCUGCCGUGCCGACUGUCAAACUCGAGGACUGUAGAGGCAGACGGAAUUCCGGGUGUAGCGGUGGAAUGCGUAGAGAUCCGGAGGAAGACCGGUGGCGAAGGCGGUCUGCUGGGCAGUUUCUGACACUGAGGCGCGACGAGCGUGGGGA